rnacentral:rRNA from 1 species
GUCGAGCGAUGGAUUAGAGCUUGCUCUUAUGAAGUUAGCGGCGGACGGGUGAGUAACACGUGGGUAACCUGCCCAUAAGACUGGGAUAACUCCGGGAAACCGGGGCUAAUACCGGAUAACAUUUUGAACCGCAUGGUUCGAAAUUGAAAGGCGGCUUCGGCUGUCACUUAUGGAUGGACCCGCGUCGCAUUAGCUAGUUGGGAGGUAACGGCUCACCAAGGCGACGAUGCGUAGCCGACCUGAGAGGGUGAUCGGGACACUGGGACUGAUACACGGCCUACACUCCUAUGGGAGGCGCAGUAGGGAUCUUCCGCAAUGUAAAAAGGUGACGGAGACCGGGCGUGAUUGUUACGUUUCGGCCAAAUCUC